CUACGGGGGGCAGCAGUGAGGAAUAUUGCACAAUGGGGGGAACCCUGAUGCAGCAACGCCGCGUGGAGGAUGACGCAUUUCGGUGUGUAAACUCCUUUUAUAUGUCAAGAAAAUGACGGUAGCAUAUGAAUAAGCACCGGCUAACUCCGUGCCAGCAGCCGCGGUAAUACGGAGGGUGCAAGCGUUACUCGGAAUCACUGGGCGUAAAGGACGCGUAGGCGGGUUGGAAAGUCAGGAGUGAAAUCCUACAGCUUAACUGUAGAACUGCACUUGAAACUUCUAAUCUAGAGUAUGGGAGGGGGAGAUGGAAUUAGUGGUGUAGGGGUAAAAUCCGUAGAUAUCACUAGGAAUACCGAAAGCGAAGGCGAUCUCCUGGAACAUUACUGACGCUAAGGCGUGAAAGCGUGGGGAGCAAACAGGAUUAGAUACCCCGGUAGUC
rnacentral:rRNA from 1 species